rnacentral:rRNA from 1 species
GUAGGGAAUCUUGCGCAAUGGAGGCAACUCUGACGCAGCCAUGCCGCGUGCAGGAAGAAGGCGCUACGCGUUGUAAACUGCUUUUAACCGGGAAGAAACCCCAGGACGUGUCCUGGGUUGACGGUACCGGAGGAAUAAGCACCGGCUAACUUCGUGCCAGCAGCCGCGGUAAUACGAAGGGUGCAAGCGUUAUCCGGAUUCAUUGGGUUUAAAGGGUGCGUAGGCGGAGCGUUAAGUCAGUGGUGAAAUCCUGCAGCUUAACUGUAGACUUGCCAUUGAUACUGGCGCUCUUGAGUGCGCUUGAAGUGGGCGGAAUGUGCCGUGUAGCGGUGAAAUGCUUAGAUAUGGCACAGAACACCAAUUGCGAAGGCAGCUCACUAAGGCGAUACUGACGCUGAGGCACGAAAGCGUGGGGAUCGAACAGGAUUAGAAACCCGGGUAGUCC